GGGCAAUAAACGCAUAGAAGCAGUGAUGAUUAUGGUGGUGAUUAUGAUGGUGUUCUCAUGGAGGAUUUGCGAAGCCGAGAGCUUAAGAAGACACACAUCAUCUUCAUCAUCAAGACCACAAAGAUUUUUCAAGAAAGUUUCUCAGGGCUUCUACCGAAGACAAUGCCAAUUCCACCUUCUGCUCCUUCCAAGAAACACAAUGUCUAUGGUUUACAGAGUACCAAUUUCCAACGAUAUCCAUGACCUUCGAUCACCAAGAUACUUACACAUAUUUUAUAUACACAUACUUAUCUUUAUAACAUAGAACUCUAGUUAUGUCUAUCUUCUUUCUCCCGUUUGUGUUUCUUUUUUCUUUUUACUUGGGUUUUAAAGAAAGUUUUCUAGGAAGAAAUUAUUGUAUUCCAUCGAGAACGAACAAAAUUAGGUAGGACUAUUUUUGGAUGCAUGCCUACUUAUUUGUACCCUACUUGUAUUAUAGUUUGGAGAAUUAUGUAUCAUAUAUGCAAAAUCAUGAUUGAAUCAUUGUAAUCCAUCAUCCCAAUGUACCUUCUCCGUUCUAUCAAGCAAUAAAUUAACACA